ACACCAUCUAUCCCAGUGUGUGUAGCUCAGCUCUGAUUCUUUCAGUUUACACGUGCAGUGUGGGCGAAGUGGACGCCUAGAACAAAAAAAAACCAAUCAGAACUUUAACAAUGUCUCAUCUUUUAAUGCUUCUGUCGUUUUGCUUCAUCCAUCAUAGCGGAGCCUCCACAGUGAGUGAAAAACAGAGAGGAAUCGCCACACUGCCAUGUAAAUAUGAGGCCAAAGACAUUUCAGAUAUACGCUUUAUACGACAAGGAAAACCUGUACACUUUUCUGUUUGUGAAGAAUAUAAAAGAGGAAGUGGCCGAAUCUGUCAAAAAGGAGCAUGUGACAUCAUCAUCCAGAAUCUGAGCUUCAGUGACGCUGGGAAAUACAUUUUUAGAUUCAAUUACAAAAGUGCUCCGAUGGAUCAGACGUACCAACUUCAUGUUCAUGGUAAAGUCAAAACUGAUCAAAGCAUCAGAAUGCAUGUGCUUUCUGGACGUCCUUCAGUUCUUCUGUGGUAAUGCAUGCUGGACUCUAACCAUCAGAAUCAGUGAAUGGGACACGUCCUGAAUAAUAUCAGGGUUAGAGGUCACCGAUGAGAUGUGUGUGAAGAUCGGUGAGCAGCUGAAGUUAGAUGUUCUGUCGUCAGAAGCUGAUGAAGUGCAGCAUCAGAGCAGAAGAAGCACCGAGUGGAAAGAUGUUUGGACGAGAGGCCAUGGUGUUCAGAAUCAGCUCCUGAAUGAUAGAGAUGGAAACCUGAUCAUCAAUAACUUUACAGCCAGUGAUUCAGGAAAAUACAGAGUUCUGGGGUCUGAAGGAGAACGCUUGAUCACAGUGACUGUUAGAGAAUCUAAAGGAUCUUGCUCAGGUGAAAAACUCAGUAGUGAUGCUGCACAACACAGGCACUGGAUUGGACCGGCUGGGUUUGUUUGGGUGGUUCUUUGCCUUUUUUAAAAGAAGAACGAUACACUGGUGUCUAGAGGGAGGUCUGAGUAGGUCCUACAUGUGCUACAUCUGCCAUAUUGUAACGUGACCCGUCCUAAAAGUAGUAGAACGUCCAGGUAAUUUCUGACAGCUGUUUUAUAAGUAUUACAAGAUUUUAUUGCCAUCUGAAUCCAGAAUGUCAGUGUGUUUCUCCCACCACCCGUAUAGUUCCCCGACCGAAUUACCUACUGUUUUUUUAACAAACAAAAAGGUCAUGUGGUAAUUUCACUGCAUUUUUUUUGGCAGCAGUAAACAUCUACACUUUUAUUACUGAAAGAUAUAUAACAUAUUAUUGCACCAAAGGGCAUGUUAUGCAAUUUUUGAUGUUUGUAUGUAUGCAUGUAUUUAUUUAUUUAUUUAUUUAUUUAUUUAUUUAUUCAUUCAUUUUCAUGGACAUGUUAUAUAAUCUCUUUGACCCUAAUGUAAAUGACCCCUUUGACCCUCAAAUGGAACAUCAGUGUCUUUAAUGUCAGUGUAAGUCCCUCGAUUGUCCACCAGAGGUCUCACUCACCAGAGGAUUGACUAUUGGACUACAGUUCCCAGCAAGCCUCACACCUGGACUAAUUUCUGCUCACCUGAUACUUGCACACAGAUUAUUUAAAAACCGUGUUUUUGUUCUUCUUGAAGUCUUUUUUAUUGUGUAUCGACACAGCUCUAGCUGCCUGCCCUGGUCUGUUGUUUGCUGUGUUUGUUAGGCUUUACUGCCUAAACCACAUGGAUUCAGCCAGAGUCUGUGUUACAAUCAGACUGAAACGAUUAGGGAUCUUGUCUAAAAUAAGACAACUCAUAUGUGGAAUCUAUCAGCUAGGAGCUGCACAAUGUUUGACAUAUUUUACAUUGUUAUUGUCAGUUACGUAGACAAACUGAUUAAUACUAUUGUUUUUAUAGUGUUUAGAAUUAUCCCUUAUUACGAAAAUAAAUAAAUAA